GCCAGUGUGGAGUAAUGGUUUGAGCACUGGACUACGACUCCGGUGGUCAGAGUUCAAAUCCCUGCUCAGCCA